rnacentral:rRNA from 1 species
UUGAACGCUGGCGGCAUGCCUUACCCAUGCCAGUCGCACGGUAACGGGCCUUCGGGUGCCGACGAGUGGCGAGCGGGUGAGUAAUACAUCGGAACGUGCCCGAUCGUGGGGGAUAACGAGGCGAAAGCUUUGCUAAUACCGCAUACGAUCUACGGAUGAAAGCAGGGGACCGCAAGGCCUUGCGCGGACGGAGCGGCCGAUGGCAGAUUAGGUAGUUGGUGGGAUAAAAGCUUACCAAGCCGACGAUCUGUAGCUGGUCUGAGAGGAUGAUCAGCCACACUGGGACUGAGACACGGCCCAGACUCCUACGGGAGGCAGCAGUGGGGAAUUUUGGACAAUGGGCGCAAGCCUGAUCCAGCCAUGCCGCGUGCAGGAUGAAGGCCUUCGGGUUGUAAACUGCUUUUGUACGGAACGAAAAGCCUUCUUUUAAUACAGGAGGGUCAUGACGGUACCGUAAGAAUAAGCACCGGCUAACUACGUG